CUUGCUCCUUGGGUGACGAGUGGCGGACGGGUGAGUAGUGUCUGGGGAUCUGCCCGAUAGAGGGGGAUAACCACUGGAAACGGUGGCUAAUACCGCAUAACGUCGCAAGACCAAAGAGGGGGACCUUCGGGCCUCUCACUAUCGGAUGAACCCAGAUGGGAUUAGCUAGUAGGCGGGGUAAUGGCCCACCUAGGCGACGAUCCCUAGCUGGUCUGAGAGGAUGACCAGCCACACUGGAACUGAGACACGGUCCACACUCCUACGGGAGGCAGCAGUGGGGAAUAUUGCACAAUGGGCGCAAGCCUGAUGCACCCAUGCCGCGUGUAUGAAGAAGGCCUUCGGGUUGUAAAGUACUUUCAGCGGGGAGGAAGGCGAUGCGGUUAAUAACCGCGUCGAUUGACGUUACCCGCAGAAGAAGCACCGGCUAACUCCGUGCCAGCAGCCGCGGUAAUACGGAGGGUGCAAGCGUUAAUCGGAAUUACUGGGCGUAAAGCGCACGCACGCGGUCUGUUAAGUCAUAUGUGAAAUCCCCGGGCUUAACCUGGGAACUGCAUUUGAAACUGGCAGGCUUGAGUCUUGUAGAGGGGGGUAGAAUUCCAUGUGUAGCGGUGAAAUGCGUAGAGAUCUAGAGGAAUACCGGUGGCGAAGGCGGCCCCCGGCACAAAGACUGACGCUCAUGUGCGAAAGCGUGGAGAGCAAACGAGAUAGAUACUCUGAUAGUCCACGCCGUAAACGAUGUCGACGUAGAGG
rnacentral:rRNA from 1 species